rnacentral:ncRNA from 1 species
UGAAUACCCGUCUGUUUUUCUUCGCAUUCUUUUUUACCUUCCCCUGAUUGGGAGGCGUUUCGUCGCGAAAGAAUGAAUGCGAAGACGAACAACAAAGCCUCCUGAAAAGGGGGCUUUUUUUAU